AGCAACGGAUCUCUUGGCUCUCGCAUCGAUGAAGAACGCAGCGAAAUGCGAUAAGUAAUGUGAAUUGCAGAAUUCAGUGAAUCAUCGAAUCUUUGAACGCACCUUGCGCUCCUUGGUAUUCCGAGGAGCAUGCCUGUUUGAGUGUCAUUAAU
rnacentral:rRNA from 1 species